rnacentral:lncRNA from 1 species
UUUUAAAGUCAUCUGGAUGCUAGAUGGAAUUCGAAAUUCUGGUAAAUCGAAAUUGAACCGGCACUUGUAUAUGUAUCUUAGAGGACUUUUUCCUUAUUCGAAUCCUAUUUUUCUAACUUUGCAUUAUAUUGAACCAGGUAGCGAUAGGAAUUCAAUGACUACCAUAAAGAUCAACGCAGUAGAUCUUCUUUAUAUCAUGAAUCAAAUUUUUCAUAAAUAACAUGCUAAUGUAAAUUAUUAUAAAUUUUUAAAAUAAAUGUAAAUAGUAUUAAAAAUUUUUAAAAUGGCGAAAAUAAGAAGUAAAAAAUUGAUUGAUUUAAAAAAUC